rnacentral:rRNA from 1 species
UACGGGGGGAGCAAGCGUUGUUCGGAUUUACUGGGCGUAAAGGGCGCGUAGGCGGGCCCACAAGUCCGGGGUGAAAUCUUUCGGCUUAACCGGAAAAGUGCCUUGGAUACUGGGGGCCUUGAGGGAGGCAGGGGCGGAUGGAACUUCCGGUGGAGCGGUGAAAUGCGUUGAUAUCGGAAGGAACGCCGGUGGCGAAAGCGAUCCGCUGGACCUCUCUGGCGCUGAGGCGCGAAAGCCAGGGGAGCAAAGCGGG